rnacentral:rRNA from 1 species
CGGCCGCGGUAUCCUGACCGUGCAAAGGUAGCAUAAUCACUUGUUCCUUAAUUAGGGACUAGCAUGAAUGGCCAAACGAGGAUUCAACUGUCUCUUAUUUUUAAUCAGUGAAAUUGACCUUUCAGUGAAGAGGCUGAAAUACUAAAAUAAGACGAGAAGACCCUAUGGAGCUUAAAUUAAAAGUUUAACUUUACUUCCAUCAGCCUAAUGGCAUAACACAAAAAUUUUAAACUCUAAAUUUCGGUUGGGGUGACCUCGGAGAACAAAAAA